GCCUUCUUAGCUCAGUGGUAGAGCGCGUGGCUUUUAACACCAGUGGUUUGUUGGUUUGAUCCCCACAGACGGUG
rnacentral:tRNA from 1 species